rnacentral:rRNA from 1 species
UACGGGGGGGGGCAAGCGUUGUUCGGAAUUACUGGGCGUAAAGGGCUCGUAGGCGGCCAACUAAGUCAGACGUGAAAUCCCUCGGCUCAACCGGGGAACUGCGGGGCAUACUGCGGGUCUGAGGAAGGUAGGCGCCUGAGGGAACAGUAGGUGGAGCGGUGAAAUGCGUAGAUAUCUACUGGAACGCCGAUGGUGAAGACGCUCGGCUGGGCCUUUCCUGACGCUGAGGCACGAAAGCGUGGGGAGCAAACAGG